CAGAUGGUUCCACUAUUGAUCAGCUGUCUUCGGACGGCCUAACCCUAACCCUAGAGGGUAUGCGAUUCGUCUUUACUAGUCAAUGGCUACCUGGUCAGCCCUGAUUUGCAGUACCUGUGAAGUUUUCCUGACAUGUUUUCUUCACAGGCAGGGCGAUAAGGAAAUAAAAAGCAUGUUUUCAAUAAGGACUGUUUGUUUCUGCCAAUUUGUUGUGUUAACCGGAGCUGGAUUGAGUCCAUCCAGACAAGCACCGUGGAAGCUAGAAGAAAACUUCGACAGAAGCUUAAACAGCUUUAGUGUCGUAGCGAAGGAUUCGUUCCUGCAUUUUCUAGACGAAGCAGUGCUUUCCUUGAACAUGAAAAUUCAGAUCAAAUGAAAAAAUGCGUGGUGCUUGAUUACUGUAGAAUUGUUUUCAAGCCUGCAAUUUUUUCGACAUUC
rnacentral:telomerase_RNA from 1 species